GGUUAUGGCUCAGUGGUAGAGUGCUUUCCUAGCAUGUGCAAGGCCCUGGGUUCAAUCCUCAGCACCA
rnacentral:tRNA from 1 species